ensembl:lncRNA SNHG32 small nucleolar RNA host gene 32
CUCGUGGGUUGGCAGUAUGAGAGUUGUAAUGGCCCGACUGUUGAGUGAGGGGGAGCAGGGGAUCCCAACGGCUUGCGCUGCCUUUGCGCAGCAGCCGGCGGGCGGCCACGUCGCGGCCUGGCUGGGGUAGGAGAGGGCGGUCCCCAGUGCAGUUGGGUGAACUACCGUUGCACACUGGAGUUUCUGGUGUCUUUGCUUGGAACUGACCUAGCUCGUGGCAGGGGGAACUCGGCUAGCGGCCCCACAGCCCCUGCUGACUCAAAACAACUGAGUUGUAAGACGUUCAUCGCCGUGUUAUCCUUGAGUAAAGACAGGGCGCAAUGCCAGGAUCUCCCUGCAACAUCCACCGUCAGGGCUCAAGUGGUCUUUCCACCUCAGCUUCCUGGGACUGCAGGCACGUGCUACCACCACGCCUGGCUAAUUUUUAGUUUUUUUACAGAAGCGGGCUUUUGCCAUGUUGUCCAGGCUGGUCUCUACUCCUGGGCUCAAGCAGUCCUCCUGCCUCAGUCUCCCAAAGUGCUGGAAUUACAGGGAAUGAACUCUGGAAGCCCAGCCAGGGACAAUGCACCUUCACAGAGAUUCUGCACUAAUCUGAGUGAAGGUCUAAGGUUUGGAAUCUCCCCCUCAUGGAGAGAAGCUUUGUAUGGCUGUCAUGCUUAGACAGUGAUUCCUGCAACUUGACCUUCAGGCUGGGAGAGGUGGAGAGCCAUGCCUGUUCUCCUUCCUUGCUAUGGAAUUUGCUGACACAAUAUCUUCCGCCUGGUGCUGGGCAUAUCCUAAGAACUUACAACUUUCCUGUAUUAUCCUGUGUGAGCAGCUGUCACCUUAUUGGGGGAAAAAUGCCUGAAAAUUAGGGGGCACUUCAAGUAGAUAGCUUCUAUUUCCUAUAUUUGUCUUAUAUACAAGUAUUUGCUUUUAUCAAAAUAAUUCCAAUAAAGCAUUUUAAAGUAAA